rnacentral:lncRNA from 1 species
AGGUUUGCAGUUUUGCAUCUUACAUUUAAGUCUUUAUUCUAUUUUGAGUUGAUUUUCUAUAUGGUGUGAGAUAAGGAUCUAAUUUCCUUCUUUUGCAUAUGGAUAUGCAGUUACCCCCAGUGCUAUUCAUUGAAGAGACUAUCUGUUCCUCAUUAUAUAUUUUUGGCACUUCUGUCAAAAGUCAGUUGGCUGCAAAUGCCUGGAUUCAUUUCUGGGAUCUAUGAUGCCCCAUUGGUCUACGUGUCUGUUUU